rnacentral:rRNA from 1 species
AAAACUCAAAGGAAUUGACGGGGGCCCGCACAAGCGGCGGAGCAUGUGGCUUAAUUCGAUGCAACGCGAAGAACCUUACCUAGGCUUGACAUGCAGGGAAAUCUCAUAGAGAUGUGAGGUCCGCAAGGGCCUUGCACAGGUGGUGCAUGGCUGUCGUCAGCUCGUGUCGUGAGAUGUUGGGUUAAGUCCCGCAACGAGCGCAACCCUCGUCCUAUGUUGCCAGCGAGUAAUGUCGGGGACUCAUAGGAGACUGCCGGGGUCAACUCGGAGGAAGGUGGGGAGGACGUCAAGUCAUCAUGCCCCUUAUGUCUAGGGCUGCACACAUGCUACAAUGGCCGGUACAAAGGGCUGCGAUACCGCAAGGUGGAGCGAAUCCCAUAAAGCCGGUCUCAGUUCGGAUUGGGGUCUGCAACUCGACCCCAUGAAGUGGGAGUCGCUAGUAAUCGCAGAUCAGCAACGCUGCGGUGAAUACGUUCCCGGGCCUUGUACACACCGCCCGUCACGUCACGAAAGUCGGUAACACC